UAUUGCCCACUGCAUAAUUCCAAUGAGGAACUCUUCCCAUAGUUAGUUUUCUCGUGCAGUCCAAACUCAUUGAACUUAACUCCUGGAGCACAUGUUCUUCUUCAGGCCCUAGCUCUCCACUUCAACACUGGUAGCUCCAUCUUACACCCUGUGCUCUACUUCCUUGCCAUCCCUGAGGACAUCUUCCUAACCUGUUGCAUUGAUUUUAUACAUACACAUUAUAUAUGUGGGUUUCAAAUAUUUACAGAUCUCUCUGUAUAGGACUGCUUUUGUGUGAGUGUGUGUUGUUAUGGGUUGGGUUAAACCUCGCUUAAGCUGGUGAGUGUAACAGUCAUCUUUCAUUCAGGAGAAGUGUAAAAAGCAAUUGAGCUACUUUAUGGAACCAGAUAGCAGAAAACUAUAGGAGCACCACCCAAAAUAGUGGCAGAUUGCAAGACUCCAGUAGAAACUAUCAUAGAACUGAAGGUUUUUUCCUGGGGCUGAUAUAGCAAGUGCAGGGGCUAGGUAUUGAUUAGUGGAGGUGUGCGUGAGAGAAGCAGCAAGAAAUGCCAGAGAAACAGAGGAGAAGAAAGCCAAGGACACAGAAGCAUUGGUAGCACGGCCCUGAGAAAAAACUUAGUGAGAGAACUUUUGGGGUACAAGGAUGGUUGAGAAGAGUCUUGGAACUGUGAGCAAAGAAAGGAUCUUGCUAGAUUCCUAUUGUGUUUAGGGAAACAGGGCUUUGUGUACAUUCUUUGUAAAUAAACAGGAUGCCAUCAAAGAAACACCUGACUCCAUCAUCAAUUUCUCCUCCAAAUGGAAACAACCCUAGACCUAAUUUUUCAAUAAGUACUCAGGUGUAACAGUGUUCUAAAUGCAUGUCCCCACAUGCAUACAUUCGUGAGAUAAUAUACACAGAAAACCAAAUCAGAUGCAGGGAGAUGUGCAAUAUUCUAAACUCACAAACACAUCACAGAUUAUCACCACCUACCUUGUCCUCUUAUCAACAUCUUCGUGCCACCACUUUUUAGCACAAAAGUCAUGUUCUUAACGAGAGCCACUGGGAGAGAAAUACACAAAAUUCAUUCACAAACACAUGCAGCUCAUUAUAAGUUUAGCACUAUAAAUACAAGUAAUACUUUGUAUCGAAGUGCAUCUGUGGCUCCUCCACCGCUCACCUAUGAACCUUAGUGGAAUAUGGUUUUGAAUUUAAAGGAAGCACAAACUUUUUUAGGUGGGGGAUGUACGUAAUUUGGGUUCUUUUCCCACUUUUACAAAAAGAUAAAUUGCUAUUUAAAUUACAAGUUUUACAUUGUAUUUGAGAUAGGAAAAUGCCAUAAAUUGUAACUUCACCCAAGGGUCCUGUGGA
rnacentral:lncRNA from 1 species